ACCUGGGUGGCUCAGUGGGUUGAGCAUCUGACUUUAGCUCAGGUCACGAUCUCGCUAUCGUGAGUUCAAGCCCCGCAUCGGGCU
rnacentral:tRNA from 1 species